AGGGGAGAAAACCGUGCUGCCUAGGAGUUCAGGGAACAUAAUGAUGUGGACUCCUAAGUUCCUGGGUUUGACAUGACUCAGGCCAGCGAUGGACCACCCAGGGUUUCCAAGAAAGUACUCAAGUGGACUCUAAGCCCUUGCAGUUUGACUUGACUCAGGCUGGAAAUUUGCCACCCAGGCCGCACCACGCUGCUGGAUUUCACCAGGUCCAAGCAUCAAACCAGAAGCUCACUCAGGUACACCCUUUAAGAGACCCCACACAGCUCGCCAUACCACCUGCUCUGGGAUGGCCUUGACCCCUGCUUCCCCUCCCUCCUCCUCCAUCUUUCCUUCAACCUCUUCCAUCCAUCCAUGUCCUCCUCCUCUGUCCUUUCCUCCCUCUCCUCUAUCUAUUCCUCUUCAUCCUCCUGCUCUUCAUGCUCUUCCUGAUCCAUCUUCCUUGCAUCCUCCACCUCUCCUCCACUCAUGUUUUCUCCUCUUCCUCUCCCUCUUGUGCCUACUUCUCCCCCUCAUUCACCUUCUCCCUCCAUCCUGCUGCAUCCACCUUUUCUCCUGAAUCCAUCUCUCCUCUUGCUAGACCUUCCCAUCCUCCGCCUC